UGCAGUCGAGCGGACAGAUGGGAGCUUGCUCCCUGAUGUUAGCGGCGGACGGGUGAGUAACACGUGGGUAACCUGCCUGUAAGACUGGGAUAACUCCGGGAAACCGGGGCUAAUACCGGAUGGUUGUUUGAACCGCAUGGUUCAAACAUAAAAGGUGGCUUCGGCUACCACUUACAGAUGGACCCGCGGCGCAUUAGCUAGUUGGUGAGGUAAUGGCUCACCAAGGCAACGAUGCGUAGCCGACCUGAGAGGGUGAUCGGCCACACUGGGACUGAGACACGGCCCAGACUCCUACGGGAGGCAGCAGUAGGGAAUCUUCCGCAAUGGACGAAAGUCUGACGGAGCAACGCCGCGUGAGUGAUGAAGGUUUUCGGAUCGUAAAGCUCUGUUGUUAGGGAAGAACAAGUACCGUUCGAAUAGGGCGGUACCUUGACGGUACCUAACCAGAAAGCCACGGCUAACUACGUGCCAGCAGCCGCGGUAAUACGUAGGUGGCAAGCGUUGUCCGGAAUUAUUGGGCGUAAAGGGCUCGCAGGCGGUUUCUUAAGUCUGAUGUGAAAGCCCCCGGCUCAACCGGGGAGGGUCAUUGGAAACUGGGGAACUUGAGUGCAGAAGAGGAGAGUGGAAUUCCACGUGUAGCGGUGAAAUGCGUAGAGAUGUGGAGGAACACCAGUGGCGAAGGCGACUCUCUGGUCUGUAACUGACGCUGAGGAGCGAAAGCGUGGGGAGCGAACAGGAUUAGAUACCCUGGUAGUCCACGCCGUAAACGAUGAGUGCUAAGUGUUAGGGGGUUUCCGCCCCUUAGUGCUGCAGCUAACGCAUUAAGCACUCCGCCUGGGGGAGUACGGUCGCAAGACUGAAACUCAAAGGAAUUGACGGGGGCCCGCACAAGCGGUGGAGCAUGUGGUUAAUUCGAAGCACGC
rnacentral:rRNA from 1 species